rnacentral:rRNA from 1 species
AUUGAACGCUGGCGGCAGGCUUAACACAUGCAAGUCGAGCGGAGAUGAGGUGCUUGCACCUUAUCUUAGCGGCGGACGGGUGAGUAACGCGUAGGAAUCUGCCUUGAAGAGGGGGACAACCCGAGGAAACUCGGGCUAAUACCGCAUAAUCUCGGAAGAGCAAAGCUAGGUAGCAAUAUCUGGUACUUCAAGAGGAGCCUGCGUCCGAUUAGCUAGUUGGUAGGGUAAAGGCCUACCAAGGCGAUGAUCGGUAACUGGUCUGAGAGGAUGACCAGUCACACUGGGACUGAGACACGGCCCAGACUCCUACGGGAGGCAGCAGUGGGGAAUAUUGGACAAUGGGGGCAACCCUGAUCCAGCAAUGCCGCGUGUGUGAAGAAGGCCUUCGGGUUGUAAAGCACUUUAGUUGGGGAGGAAGUUAUGUUGUUUAAGAGAUGGCAUAAUUGACUGUACCCAAAGAAUAAGCACCGGCUAACUCUGUGCCAGCCGCCGCCGUAACAC